rnacentral:rRNA from 1 species
GAUGAACGCUAGCUACAGGCUUAACACAUGCAAGUCGAGGGGUAACGAGAGGGGAGCUUGCUUUCCUUGUCGACGACCGGCGCACGGGUGAGUAACGCGUAUCCAACCUGCCCCCAACUAGGGAAUAACCUUGCGAAAGUAAGACUAAUACCCUAUAAUUUCCUCCGAUGUCAUCUGACGAGGAAUAAAGAUUUAUCGGUUGUGGAUGGGGAUGCGUCUGAUUAGCUUGUUGGCGGGGUAACGGCCCACCAAGGCAACGAUCAGUAGGGGUUCUGAGAGGCAGGUCCCACACAUUGGAACUGAGACACGGUCCAAACUCCUACGGGAGGCAGCAGUGAGGAAGAUUGGUCAAUGGGCGGAAGCUUGAACCAGCCAAGUAGCGUGCAGGAUGACGGCCCUAUGGGUUGUAAACUGCUUUUAUACAGGAAUAAAGUUAGCCACGUGUGGUUAUUUGUAGGUACUGUAUGAAUAAGGACCGGCUAAUUCCGUGCCAGCCGCCGCCGUAA